AGGCUUAAUACAUGCAAGUCGAACGGUAACAGUGGAGAACUUCGGUGAUCCAGCUGACGAGUGGCGCACGGGUGAGUAACGCGUACGCAACCUGCCUUCAAGAGCGGGAUAGCCCCGGGAAACUGGGAUUAAUACCGCAUAGCAUUAACGAUUCACCUGGAUUGUUAAUUAAAGCUAAGGCGCUUGAAGAUGGGCGUGCGUGCUAUUAGCUAGUUGGUGAGGUAACGGCUCACCAAGGCGACGAUAGCUAGGGGGCGUGAGAGCGUGACCCCCCACACGGGUACUGAGACACGGACCCGACUCCUACGGGAGGCAGCAGUCUAGAAGCUUCCACAAUGGACGAAAGUCUGAUGGAGCGACGCCGCGUGCGGGAUGAAGCCCUUGCGGGUGUAAACCACUGUCAGCAGGGAAGAAUGCCCUGAUGGUGAAUCAGGGAGAGACGGUACCUGCAGAGGAAGCACCGGCUAAUUCCGUGCCAGCAGCCGCGGUAAUACGGAAGGUGCAAACGUUGCUCGGAAUUACUGGGCGUAAAGGGUGCGUAGGCGGUUUGAUAAGUCUAACGUGAAAUCCCACGGCUCAACCGUGGAACUGCGCUGGAAACUGUUGAACUUGAGGAUGGGAGAGGCAAGUGGAAUUCCUGGUGUAGCGGUGGAAUGUGUAGAGAUCAGGAAGAACACUCGUGGCGAAGGCGGCUUGCUGGCCCAUUUCUGACGCUGAGGCACGAAAGCCAGGGGAGCGAACGGGAUUAGAUACCCCGGUAGUCCUGGCCGUAAACGGUGGAUACUAGGUGUCGGGGGUAUCGACCCCCUCGGUGCCGACGCAAACGCAUUAAGUAUCCCGCCUGGGGAGUACGACCGCAAGGUUGAAACUCAAAGGAAUUGGCGGGGGCCCGCACAAGCGGUGGAGGAUGUGGUUUAAUUCGACGCAACGCGCAGAACCUUACCUGGGCUUAAACCGCAGGGUACACCCCCUGAAAGGGGGGCUGCUUCGGCAAUCCUGUACAGGUGCUGCAUGGCCGUCGUCAGCUCGUGUCGUGAGAUGUUGGGUUAAGUCCCGCAACGAGCGCAACCCUUACUCUUAGUUACCAGCAUUUCGGAUGGGGACUCUAGGAGGACUGCCGUCGUAAGGCGGAGGAAGGUGGGGAUGACGUCAGGUCAGCAUGGCCCUUAUGUCCAGGGCUACACACGUCCUACAAUGGCGAGUACAACGGGCAGCUGGCUCGCGAGAGUCAGCAAAUCCCUUAAAGCUCGUCCCAGUUCAGAUUGCAGUCUGCAACCCGACUGCAUGAAGGCGGAAUCGCUAGUAGUCGCGCAUCAGCCAUGGCGCGGUGAAUACGUUCCCGGACCUUGUACACACCGCCCGUCAAACCAUGGGA
rnacentral:rRNA from 1 species